ensembl:lncRNA
AUGCCCUUACUUCUGGGCCCCUUUGUCCGCUGUAGGCUCAGCGCCACGCUCCUUGCGCUCUGGCUCGUCCUCUCUGGCUUCACCUGCACUGGUGGAGAAUUUGUGGUAAUUUCCGUGGGAAGAAAAUCACGGUGGUCGAAAUCUGUGGGCUACAUCUGCCAGUCAUCGGUUAAUUUCCUGUGGUUUCCACUCCCAUAUCCUUUAACAUCAGUGAUUCUAACUUUGACCCAUCAGUUUUGUGGUGUUUUGCCAGUGUCAACGUUUGUGCGCUGCCUCCGAGCUUGGUGGAAAUGAGGAAAUGAGUGCAGCUGGUGCUGUGCUGGUGGAAGAGGUUAAGAGGUUGUUAAGUUGAGUCCCGGGUCUUUCCCUGGACGUUCUAAUCAAAUGUUAUUUUCCCUGGAGCUUUUGUCUCUCACUUCCUGCAUCAUGAGGAGGAAGGAGAUGUAAAGCAGAGCUUCAACCUUUGAUGCUCAUCUGUUCUUUUGCUGUUUAUAAAAAAUAAAAUAAAAAUGUGAAGACCCGUGAAUAUUAAUAUCCCAGAAAUUAUUCACAGUACGACAUUACUAGUGCUGCCAGUGUAUUCUGUAGUUGGAGUCUCCAGAGUUUCUUGACCAUGACUUUGGUGACUUUUAUUUAACCAGACAACAGAUGGGGCCAUCCAGAGCGGUGCACCCUUACUGCGAAUCCACAGUAAGAAAAAUUAAAUGUGAGUAGAACAUGAGUACCGCUGUGGCGCUUCAAUCCACACUGAUUUGACUGACCCCCGUUUAGGCAUCGUCAGAAGCAGCUGUGUCCCAGUCAGCAGCACAGAGCAGCUCUGAGCAGAGCUGUAGGACAAUCUUCGCCGGCCUGAUUUACAGCAGGAAUUUACAGUAAUUGUAAAAUUCAGAAAAAUGGUUUUCAUGUAGCCUCAGCGUGAGGAAAUCAAAUUGUUUUUAUGUAUUUAUAGUAACACUAGGAGGCUUGAUCAUCACGGAUACCAUUAAUAAUCGGAGAACAACAACAGAUUUGUGUGAUUUUUAAACAGCUGUCUGAGGAGAAGACACUUCAUUACUAUUAGCGGGAAAAUAAAUGUAGGGGUACCAACGUGACGUCUCAGAGUCGGUGUGGGCGGGUGUGAGUGAUACAUGUGGAAAAACCCAUCUGAAAACACUCUGUUUGGGGAUUGGCCUUGAGAUGCAAUCUUGUGUGAUAAGGCUUUCCUGUAUUUGUUUUUAGUAUACAUGAUGUACUGUCUGGUUGCUAACACUGCACAGUGAGAAUAGCAGUGUGUUAGGAGACGUUUUCAGGUCUUUCCUGUUCUCCGGGUGAUCAAUACUCUUCUCCAAAUGGUUAAUUGGCCAUCAGUCACUGUCAGAGGAAGUGCGUAGAAACCCAGAGGUGUCUUGGUGCAGCUCAUAAUAAGAGCUUGUCCAGUCCUCUGGGUCCUCUCUUGGCCUUUACUUCAGGCCAGGUGGUGGCUGGGGAAAGCAGAUCUGAAUGCAAUAUGGAGAGCUGUAGAUUAAUAGUUUCUUACUAAGGCCACCAGGGAGCGAUGUGAAAGCCACUUCCACUUCAUCACACAGUUGACUGGAUGGAAAGAGUGUAAAGCUUGCAGUAGGAAAGGAAGCUUAAAGCAGUGUGAAGGUCAUUUGAUGUGGUCACACAUUGAAAAGAUUUGACCAGAUUUGAUCAAAUUUGUUGUGUAAAUGUUUCAUUUUUUUCAAAUUCUCUUGUCUGUGUGGCAGGUACAGUCGUAUGCACGUUUGUGGCAACCCAGGUGUUAGUAUCAACACUUCACCGAGUUCGAAAUUACAUGUUUUGGUGUUUGUUGUUGGGUUUUUUUUGGUUUGUUUUGAACGGAACUAAAGGAAGUCUGUGCUGCAACAGUGUAAUAAAAAAUUAGCACUUUGCACUUCUUCAAAUGUUGCUGUUUUUAUUUAAUGAACUAAAAAAAUAAUAAUUGGGUUUGGGUAGCCUUGUACCUGUGAAGUCACAGAAUUUCAUUAAGCCCUUUAAGUCUUAAAGGCUUUAAUUGACUCAGCAGGACUCAUUAGAAAUAAUAGCUGAUUGUAACAUUGAACAAUGACCGGUUCCUCCAAGCAAAUGCUGUGCACCUAAAAGCUACUAAAGCUGAAGGUUUAGACGGGAAAAAAGUGUUAUUUGGCCCAAAAAAGUAUCUAUAAAAAAACUUUCAAGUAAAACUGAACAUUUGCAGGAAAGACUCAUGCCUCCAACCAUAUUAUAAUAUUUGUCAGUUUUUCAUACAAUCUGGCAUGACCCAUGUAAGUGUUAC